rnacentral:rRNA from 2 species
UACAGAGGGUGCGAGCGUUAAUCGGAUUUACUGGGCGCAAAGCGUGCGUAGGUGGUCUUUUAAGUCGGAUGUGAAAUCCCUGAGCUUAACUUAGGAAUUGCAUUCGAUACUGGGAGACUAGAGUAUGGGAGAGGAUGGUAGAAUUCCAGGUGUAGCGGUGAAAUGCGUAGAGAUCUGGAGGAAUACCGAUGGCGAAGGCAGCCAUCUGGCCUAAUACUGACACUGAGGCACGAAAGCAUGGGGAGCAAAC